CCGGAAGUUGUCGAACAAGUACUUUCAAACAAGCCGCCGGUGACAUUUACAGGUGGCAUCGGCCUUGGAGUUUAAAGAUGAGGUAGAAAGAUCUUGCCUCCAGAAACUACUCAUAAGCGACCCCGAAAGAUACUGGAUCGUUAUGUGUGACAGAAAUCAGGAUGAUGCACAGAUGGCACUUACAUUACCUGCCAACCUUCGGCAUGAAAGUCAAGAUCUGCCCAUGGAUACACAACAGAUAUUCCGCACGUACUUUGACUAUCAUCUGUCAUCAGGGAUGAGCAUGGGAACAGCACUUUAUAUGAUAGAGGCAGCGGUGAAUAGCUUCUUGGAUCAGCUGUAACCAUCAAGCAUAUGGGAGUGUGCAAUGCUGAGUGCAUCAACAAAUGUGGAGUGAAGUCUUGAACUUGAAUGAGUACAUGUAUGUGGAUGGCGAUAUUUAUACAGCACAUUGAAUUCUAAGUUCGUCUUCUGGCUCACAACUGCAUUUACAACAUCGACAUAUCUUUCUAUCUAUCUAUCUAUCUAUCUAUCUAUCUGUCUGUCUGCCUGUCUAUCUAUAAGAUCUCAUCACAGUUCACAAGCCCUGCCGAUCUCUUCGUUCUAUGUACUAGUUCCUCCUAUAUACUCCACUCAGCCAAAUAAAAUAUGGGUGACAGAGCUUUCUCGUCCGUAGCUUCACACCUCUGGAACAGUCUUCCCAUAUCUCUCAGGCCACCAAUGGCAAUAUCAAACCCUUAAAUCAGCUCUGAAGACAUAUCUUUUUCUUCAAUCAUAAAAAAAUGACUACAUUUUCUAGUUUCUGUUGUUACAAUAUGUUUUUAACUUUUUACACAGAGACCCUUACUGAUGGCUAUUAGGCGUUAUAGAAAUCAUCAUCAUCAUUAUUAUUAUUCUUAUUAGUAGUAGUAGUAGUAUCGAUAUGCUUCCUACUCUUUCAAUUGUUAGUCAUUAUGAAGGAGUGAACAGGAACAUUCUGGCGGGAGGACAGGUUUACCAAAGGAUCAUCUUUCUCUCCCGUAAUAGAUUCUUCUAAGAUCGAUAGUAAGUAGAUUGUUGUAAUAGCGGUAGGAGCGAACAGGUAGCUUGAUAGUAAGUAGAUUGUUGUAAUGGCAGAAUGUAGAACUUAUAGUCUGAUAGUAAUUUGUUUGUUGUAUUGGCAGAAUGUAGAACUUAUAGUCUGAUACUAAAUUGUUUGUUGUAAUGGCAGAAUGUAGAACUUAUAGUCUGAUAGUAAAAUGUUUGUCGUAAUGGCAGAAUGUAGAACUUAUAGUCUGAUAGUAAAUUGUUUGUUGUAUUGGCAGAAUGUAGAACUUAUAGUCUGAUAGUAAAUUGUUUGUUGUAAUGGCAGAAUGUAGAACUUAUAGUCUGAUAGUAAAUUGUUUGUUGUAAUGGCAGAAUGUAGAACUUAUAGUCUGAUAGUAAA